rnacentral:lncRNA from 1 species
GUUUAUUUUUAGCAAAUAACUAAGUGUUAGUGUUUCCCGAAUCGAUUUGUCUUCAUAAAGAAUAAUACCUAUUUCAAUGUAUUUAAGGUAUUUGAUUGUGUUCAGUUCUUAUUCAAACAGUAGUAAUUUCACCACUCAAUAAGGUAUGGAGGUUUAAAUUUGAAAUAAGAUUGAGAUGUCAGAUAUGACUAUGAAAUAUUUUUAUAAAAGCCAAUCCAUGAAAAGGGCAGCUGCAAUUCAUUUUUAAAGUAAAUUGACAUUUUUUUAUCUGUAAAAAAUUCUUUCUUAAGAUAAAUCAUUGAUAUUUGUUAAUUCUACGGAUACUUGAUUUUAUUACAUUGCACAGAUCAAUCCUGUGAGUUUAAAAUAUCAAAAGUCUCUGCAUCUGUAUUUACAUCAUUAGCAAUUGCCUCUCGAUUAAAAAUGCAUACAUACUUGUUAAUUUUGCAAUCAAAAGUUUCAAUGAAAUAAAAGAAAAAAAUGUUCUCCGUUGAGCAUUUGUUCAAAAAAAGAUAUUGCACAUCAAAAGCCAAUAGUAUUUUCAUUUGUCCCUUUCCUUUAAAAUGUUAACUACAUUUUGAAUGAUAAGAUAAAUGUAUUGCUUUUUAUUUGAUGUCUUGAAACUAUAGGUAAAAUGUUGAAAAUUAAAAGAGAAUUGGACAAUUACGUUUUAUAAUAUUUUCAUUGGUCUAAAACAAAGAGUGAGAAUACACCAAGGGACCAAAAACAAAUCUAAGAAACAUUUACUAUGACAUUUAAAUAAUAGUCAAAUUAACUUUUCUGAGAAAGAUAGACGGAUACACCACAUUAUUUUAAUAGUUUUUUUGUAUAUAUAUAUCACUUCAUCAUCCUUCUAGUUUUUGUUACAUUUUUUUAAAUAUAAAAAUAUAUGUUAGAUUUCAAUACUGC